UACGUAGGGGGCAAGCGUUGUCCGGAAUCAUUGGGCGUAAAGCGCGUGUAGGCGGCCCGAUAAGUCCGCUGUGAAAGUCCAGGGCUCAACCCUGGGAUGCCGGUGGAUACUGUCGGGCUAGAGUCCGGAAGAGGCGAGUGGAAUUCCUGGUGUAGCGGUGGAAUGCGCAGAUAUCAGGAGGAACACCGAUGGCGAAGGCAGCUCGCUGGGACGGUACUGACGCUGAGGCGCGAAAGCUAGGGGAGCAAACAGG
rnacentral:rRNA from 1 species